GCUCUCGGGUAACCUUCAUUGGGUUGUGUACCGGUACAGGGUUGCUGGCUGUACCGGUACAGGGUUGAUGGUUGUAUCGGUACGGGAUUGUGUACCGGUACACAGGCAGCUUCCAAGCCAACCCAAGGCUCGGGUUUGGCAUUUUCGUGGGAUGUGUGCCGGUACGUGGGCCCGUGUACUGGUACGCAGUGGCAGUUUUUGAGCAGUUUGAACUGCAGGGGGUUUUUCGCGUUUGUGGCUAUUCUAUAUAG
rnacentral:lncRNA from 1 species